AUUGAACGCUGGCGGAAUGCUUUACACAUGCAAGUCGAACGGCAGCACGGACUUCGGUCUGGUGGCGAGUGGCGAACGGGUGAGUAAUACAUCGGAACGUGCCCAGUCGUGGGGGAUAACGUAGCGAAAGCUACGCUAAUACCGCACACGAUCUAAGGAUGAAAGCGGGGGAUCGCAAGACCUCGCGCGAUUGGAGCGGCCGAUGGCAGAUUAGGUAGUUGGUAGGGUAAAGGCCUACCAAGCCGACGAUCUGUAGCUGGUCUGAGAGGAUGAUCAGCCACCCUGGGACUGAGCCACGGCCCGGACGCUUGCGGGAGGCGGCAGUGGGGAAUUUUGGACGAUGGGCGCAAGCCUGAUCCAGCCAUUCCGCGUGCAUGAUGAAGGCAUUCGGGUUGUAAACUGCUUUUGUACCGAACGAAAAGGCUCUGGUUAAUACCCGGGGCUCAUGACGGUACUGUAAGAAUAAGCACCGGCUAACUACGUGCCAGCCGCCGCGGUAACAC
rnacentral:rRNA from 1 species